rnacentral:rRNA from 1 species
UCCGUAGGUGAACCUGCGGAAGGAUCAUUAUUGAAUAUGAUUGGUACUGAUGCUGGCUCUUAACUGAGCAUGUGCUCGUCCAUCUAUUUAUCUUCUCUUGUGCACAUUUUGUAGUCUUGAACGUACCUCUCGCAGUCAAAUGCGGUUUGGGAGCUUGGGCGCAAGCCCUUCUCCUGCUUCUUCAAGGCUAUGUUUUCAUAUACACUAUAAAGUUACAGAAUGUCUUUUAACGAUUGCGCUUGUCGUAGUCAUUAAACCUAUACAACUUUCAGCAACGGAUCUCUCGGCUCUCCUAUCGAUGAAGAACGCAGCGAAAUGCGAUAAGUAAUGUGAAUUGCAGAAUUCAGUGAAUCAUCGAAUCUUUGAACGCACCUUGCGCCCUUUGGUAUUCCGAAGGGCAUGCCUGUUUGAGUGUCAUUGAAUUAUCAACCUUGCUCGCUUUUACCGGCUUGAGUUAGGCUUGGACUUGAGGGCUUGCUGGCUUCCUUCAGUGGAUGGUCUGCUCCCUUUAAAUGCAUUAGUGGGAUCUCUUGUGGACCGUCACUUGGUGUGAUAAUUAUCUAUGCCACUUGACCUUGAAGCAAACCUUAUGGGAACCCGCUCAUAACCGUCUUCGGACAACUUUUGACAUUUUGACCUCAAAUCAGGUAGGACUACCCGCUGAACUUAAGCAUAUC